rnacentral:rRNA from 1 species
AGAGUUUGAUCCUGGCUCAGAUUGAACGCUGGCGGUAUGCUUAACACAUGCAAGUCGAACGGAAACGAUGGUAGCUUGCUACCAGGCGUCGAGUGGCGGACGGGUGAGUAACGCGUAGGAAUCUGCCUGAUAGUGGGGGAUAGCCCAGAGAAAUCUGGAUUAAUACCGCAUAAUCUCUAUGGAGUAAAGGAGCCCUCUUCUUGAAAGGUUUCGCUAUCAGAUGAGCCUGCGUAAGAUUAGCUUGUUGGUGAGGUAAAAGCUCACCAAGGCGACGAUCUUUAGCUGGUCUGAGAGGAUGGUCAGCCACACUGGAACUGAGACACGGUCCAGACUCCUACGGGAGGCAGCAGUGGGGAAUAUUGGACAAUGGGCGCAAGCCUGAUCCAGCAAUACCGCGUGUGAAGAAGGCCUGAGGGUUGUAAAGCACUUUCAAUUGUGAAGAAAAGCUAAUGGCUAAUACCCAUUAGCCUUGACGUUAACUUUAGAAGAAGCACCAGCUAACUCCGUGCCAGCAGCCGCGGUAAUACGGAGGGUGCAAGCGUUAAUCGGAAUUACUGGGCGUAAAGCGUGCGUAGGUGGUUUGUUAAGUUAGAUGUGAAAGCCCUGGGCUCAA